UGAUGUAGCAAGUGUCAGUAGCACCGAAAUCUCUGUGAAUUUCAGCUUCCUGGAGCAGGAGAGUUUGACAGACAGUGACAUAUUGCCAUUGGGAGGGGACUGGUGAGAAGAGUUGCGGUGCCAUAGUGAACCUCUGAAGUAUACGUAUUGAUUUCCAUUGUACAUUUAUUGUAAGCAUUGGUGCCAUUGUAUAUCCCAAAAUAAUGUAUUCAGCCAAGUGUUUUUCAUCUGAUAGAAAUACCUGCCCCAUAUGAAUUAUACAUUUUAUUUGAGGAUAGGGCUGAAUAUUGCAGUAUUAGAGUACUGCCACCCGUUAAUAAUGCAGUCACCUCUGGAAUAUUCUAAUUUGUACUGGUGUUGCUGGUUGCUCUUUGUCUGCGGCUUUAUUUAAGAGUGGGAAGUGGAGAAGUUCGGCCGAGACAUUCCUGAGAGCUAUGAACAACUUUUAGAACAGGAGUAGCAAGUUGUUGGAGGUGCCAGGCCAUUACAAGGCUUUGACCUUGUCCUGCAAUGUCAAUUUGAUUUAAAGUUUAAUAUGUCUACCUAUACUCUUUAUCUAGUGGUUGACACUGUGAGCAAACAACAGAAGUGAAGUAUUUUUUAUAAAUCCACCCACUUGUGUCGUGCAGUGUGUCGUGGGACCUCCUUAUGAACUGGAAUGAUCUGCAGGCAUUUAAAUUCCUGACAAUCACUGCUUUGAGUGGACAGAUCUUUUCCAAGCGAGCAGUCGCCCCUCAGCUGCUGUUGGCUUCAGGAGAGCUGUGGUAUCUCCAGAGUGACCGUGCCACAGACUUCUGGUGCCUGUGGUAGGAGAAUGUCAGCCCUUUAACAAAAUGGUCGUGAUGGGAAGAUGAACCAUUCACCUCAUUGCUGUGUGUGAGUCGUCGUUGGUUUGGGCUAUUUGUUAACCCAACUGUUUUCAAGAUUUUCCUGGAAGGCUAUUAGUUUAUGAACACUGUUCUUUGUUUAGUUAAUUUUAAUUAACUUUGAAUAAUUCAGUACGGCUUUAUUGCAAUAAAAUGAACGCAAACAACUUUCUAAUUCCAAUGUAAAAUGGAAAUGUUUUCGUUAAGUCUGUUCCCUCUGCCCAGACAUGGUUCUUACUGACUUCAUUACAAAAGCCCACUUGGACUAUCAGAACCAGCCAAGUAAAGAUCGGUGGUUUGGGUUUGCUCAUCUUACAAACGAAUCCAGGUUGUGCUGCACCAAAUGAUCUGUUCUCAGCUGAUACUUAUUUACUUCCAGGACCUGUUUCUCUUGCUUGAAUAUGGUGCCAACCACAACAUUUCAAGAAAUGCUAGUAAUAGCUGAAGAAAAUCAAGCACCCAGAAAUGAAUGAAAGGCUGUUUACCAGUGCUCAGGUCUCAGCCCUCCGGAUAACAGCACAGCAGGCUUUGCAAAAGGAAGAAGAAAGAGAGAAAACUGGCUCCGCAGAUGAAAUUGGUGAAUUUGGAUGUGGCACCUUGAACCAGAAGAGGUCACUGCCUGCUGACCCACUCAUCUCUGAAGACUCCCUGAGCCUGGUUGUGGGAAUUGCCCUGAAGCCAUGCCUUGCCCAAACAGAUCCCUCCCUGCUUUAGCAGGAGCCAGGAAAUCAAGAGCAUUCUGGACAUGUCAAAAUUGUACCAGCAGUGACCCCCUGUAGAUAGCCGUGUCUCCCUGGUGAGCCUUCCUUCCUUGACCAGAAUGGAGCCACUCAUUUCUUGAAACUCAGUCUGUAGCCCCCUCUUUUGAGAAGAUGGACCAGCUGUGUUCCAGCACAGAACUGUUUUGGGGAUUGUGGAGGAACAGCAGCACACAGGAAAGCCCUGUGUGAGUGAAGAGGCAAAAUGCAAGCGUGGCCAAAGGCAGAACUGAGGCAGAUUUGGGGGGUCUAAAUAUUAGUGUUGUAAUGUUAAUGUUAAAAUAAUACCCCAGGUUUCUGUACCAUUUGAGAAAACUGUUUCCAAAUGUGAUUGUCUUACUUUGCCUCUUGAGCUAGGUGAAACUUUGCAGGGGCUGUUGUGCCUCACACAUUGAGACACUGCAUCCUUUCAGCUAUAUCUAGCUGUGCUGAUGUCUGACAUAAAUAAUCUCUGUUUCUUGUUUCAGUCACGCAGAUAAUAAUUUGUGAAUUUAAAUGGCAGUUAGGAAUUAGCUCUAGAAGGAAUCCCCAUUGUCUGAAGGCUCGGGGCUGCUGUUUGAGCACUCUUUGAGUGGAGAUGGAAGAUGACUCUUACUUUCUACAGAAAAUUCCAAUUUCCAUUUCCUGAUGGCUUUUUAGCAGGUCCUAGCAGGAAGUGAGUGACUUUGUGCUACAUGGGGUUGGGUUCUGUAGGAGUUCACCAGUUUCUGACUCAUAGGUGAGUUUUAAGCAUUCCUGUACUGAUAAGCUGGGGAGAGGAGAACGUCAUUAGGUGCUUAUUGCUGAUGAUCCUUUUUUGUGUGGAUGAAUCUGGUCUUCUGGGGCACAAAACUGUUCAUUCUUUGAGCUCUUCUCACUGAAAUAAAUACCUUCAAUAAGCGGCAUGUUUCACUUUCAUAGAUCUACUUUCCUUUGAUGUAAUUUCCCUUGACUAAUUGCAGAUCACAUUGGUGCUGUUACUGCUGUCUGCCGUUCGGGUUAUUUUCCACACUGGUGAUUCUUAAAUGAGGAAGGAAACAAAAGCCUCUCAGGCUGAGGUGCAAAUCUGCAUACCAUCACAUGUAUAAAUCUAAGCAGAUCAACCCCUAAACCCACAGAGCUCCAGUUCCACUUUGUGCUUUCUGCACACCCAAGGAAGCUCAUUUUUCCCUCUUUUUGGUACUGAGAGGCUCCCACAUCCCAGAGCCUGCAUAGGAGAGCAUCGAAGAAGGAGCUUUUCUUCCAGAUUCAAAUGUAUGAGAACAUAAGCUUAUGUUGGGAUUAAUUCCUUCCAGCAGUAUCAACUCAUGAUCUGUUGUGCUCUUUGGUUUUUGGCGCACAUCUUUCCUCCUCCUCCUCCCACACUGGUUCUUUCCCAACUCAGCUGUUAGCAGGGGAGAUACGGGAGAGGGUAAAAAAGAAAAGUGUUCCUCAUCUCUGUGAGUUUGAGUCAAGUCCUUCCUGAACAAGCCAUGUAAGGAAACCGGCGCUGUCUGCUGGGCUUUCCUUGUCGAGUGGGAGGUGUUGCACCACACAGUAGUUGUUUUCAGUAAGGACAGGGUGGAGAAAUUUUCAUGACUCGAAAAAAAAAAUAUUUGUUUUUUGUGAGCACAGGAAAAACUUGUAGUGCAGCAGUGCUCCUGUUGGGCUUGGAGCAGAUGGUGUCAAGACCCUCUGCUGACCUUUACUGGCAUAGGUAAGUGAUAUGCACAACCCACAUCAAAAGCAGUUAAUUUAGGUGCCGGCCUGUCUGCCAUCCAGUUCCUGUCACAAUAAAUAAUUGGUUGGAGAGAUAAUCAGUGGUAGCCCUUUGGUGCUGGACAAAAUGGGCUGCCUGGCAGAGGAGAUGUCCUGACAGAGGAAUGUGAGACCCACAUGCAGCAUGGAUUUGGCUCUUAGUCUCUUGGUGGCAAAAAACCUCAGCAACCUGAGCUUUAGCUUAGUGCUUUACUUUUCAUCUUUGUUAUCCAGUUACGCGCUUUGCUCAUUGCUGGCAAAACUUUUUCUUCCUGUAGUAAUAAAUGGUUGUAAAUCUGGUAUUGCCUCAUGUACCAUUUUGGUAUUUGAUGUCCAAUGAAGCCUUUGUUGUGUAAUGCAGAGCACUAAGGGCAGAGCCAGAAGCUUGGAUGUCAUGGUGUUAUGCUUGCAGGUAUGUUGGAUGCAGAGCAGGGAUAUGUGAGCACAUUGCUUCCCCUGCAAGGGGUGGCAGAAGCUGAGGAAUAUGGAGAACUGGAUAUGUGGUUUUGGCAGCAGUACAUAAAUAGCAGCAGCAGACCUUCAUUGGUUUCAGUGGCAUGCUGAGGUGCUGUGGCUGCUUAGUCACAGAGGCUGCACUUCCCCACUGUGCUGGGGACUUCUCUGCCAUGAGGGGAAGUGGAAUUCUUUAAAUUCUGCAGCAUAUCUCUCUUUAUCUUCUCUGAUCUAAUCUACCACAACAAACAGAUGUGCAGAAAGCUUUUAGUCUAUUGUGGUUUCUCCUCCCUUGAAUGUGACCUAACCCAAUAUGUGCAUACAAGGUCUGACAGUAUCCCCACACAUACAGCCUGGGGCUCAAGCACUCACUGCUUAGUAGUUCUGCACAGCACUGAGCCACAAUGAUCUGACUUUCCCAAAAGCAGGUAAAUAGAGAUGGAGCAGCCUCAAUUCAGAGGGUUGCACAGUUCUGUCUCACACUUCCACCUGCUGCUGCAGCCUCAGUAAGAAUCAGCCAGCCCAUUAUCAAGACAGAUUAGAGGAAGCUAAAGCUAAACAUUCUAUUUUCUUACUGUUGUGUUGUUUUGGGAGUAUCCAAAGUAGUUUAAAGACAUUUUGGUUGCAGCUACUCACACUGCAUGCAGUUCCAUCUUUGGCAUCCAUGCAGGCAGUAUGGGAAGAUGAUACUGCUGGAGCCUGCAGACUUUCUUUCUCUGUCUGUCUGCACUUUUCUGAGACCACGUUCUUAAGCACAGUGCUCUGCCCACUUGCAGACACGAACUCGUUGAAUGGCGUGUAAAGACAGCCUUUGGUCAGUAGGGGGCCCAGAUUGCUAACAGCUGUUCUAGAUGCCUAGCGAGAGGAUUGGGCUAUUCAGGCAAGUAAAAAUACUUCAAGGAAACAAAGUUAAGUAUCUAAAGUUAGGUCUCUUUUAUGCCUCCAGUUUUCUAAAAGCUGGCUUAAUACAAGAUUAAAACUUAAGGAUGAUUUUCCUCAUCCUUUGCAUGAUUAGAGAACAAUACAAAAUCUGGGUAAGAUUCUCUUCCCAUCCUAGCCAUAACAGGGCUGAGCAGUCCAAAAUUAGGAUGUGAACAGGAAGAAUGACUUUGCAUCUAAAUUGCCUAUCAUCGUGCUGCUGCUUUGUUCCCUUCUACUGAGUAAGAGAGUAAAUGUAGUUGUUAAUUGCAACAGUCUCACAGUUUUACUUGAUACUCUGGAUAGCACCAGACCAGUCAUAUGCCAGAUGCUCAGUGGAUUUCUGCUUGAGAUCAGUUAUGAAACUCCUACACUUUGCACAGCUCUAGGAAAGAGGAAACCUGCAGCUGGCUGACAAACUAAUGGCAAUCAAGACAGAGAACACACAAUUGCUGUGCACUGAAAUAUUGCCCAGCUUCUGUGCAUCUCAGCAUCAUUACACACCUUGCACAACUCCCAAGCUCACUGUGGUGGAACUCAAUAGAAAGUAUCUGAAAGCAUUCACUGAGUUCUUUCUCAGUUGGAACCUUGAUGAUUCUCAGCAGGAUGGUGCACAUGCCAAGCCUUACUGCAGGGCUGUGACCAAAGGACAUACAUAUCAUAUGGUGUGUUGAGUGUGGACAAGGUUGGUUUGUGGUCACUCAAAACAAGUUAGGGAUUUGGCACUCAGUAAAAGCAGCAAAGGAACUUUCUGCCAGCCCUACAAUGUUCCAAAGGAAGGAAAUCUUUGCAUGUCAGCUGCUCCAAAGCAAUCUAGUAUUAUACCUUAGCUCCCCAAGCAGUACAGCAACUCUGGUACAUGUCAGUAGGAAUGGGCAGCAAAAUAAAUACAUUAAGAUGAACUGUAUGAAGUUAGUAACACCUACAAAAACAACAAAAUUAAUAGGACUUAAGAAGCAGAAGUGACAGCUGAACGGGGACAAAGUAAGUUAAGAGGCAAAAGAAGUGUGAUAUUAAUACAGGUUCCAUCAAACUGAGGUAGCAUUUUUGUUUGGACAAAGUAAGUGCAUCAGAACAACUAAAUCUUGGUGAAGGCUUCUGCAAGAAGUGCUGGUUUCCCUUCUCCCUUCUGUGGGCAGUCGAACUCCU